rnacentral:tRNA from 1 species
GCCUGGCUGGCUCAGUCGGUAGAGCUUAAGACUCUUAAUCUUGGGGGUUGUGAGUUCAAGCCCCAGACUGGGCA